rnacentral:rRNA from 1 species
CUACGGGCUGCAGCAGUGAGGAAUAUUGGUCAAUGGGCGCAAGCCUGAACCAGCCAUGCCGCGUGAAGGAUGAAGGCCUUAUGGGUUGUAAACUUCUUUUAUACGGGAAUAAACUUAGCUAUGUAUAGCUAACUGCAGGUACCGUAAGAAUAAGCACCGGCUAACUCCGUGCCAGCAGCCGCGGUAAUACGGAGGGUGCAAGCGUUAUCCGGAUUUAUUGGGUUUAAAGGGUCCGCAGGCGGACUAAUAAGUCAGUGGUGAAAUCUCUCGGCUCAACCGAGAAACUGCCAUUGAUACUGUUAGUCUAGAGUGUAGUUGGCGUAGGCGGAAUGUAUCAUGUAGCGGUGAAAUGCUUAGAUAUGAUACAGAACACCGAUCGCGAAGGCAGCUUACGAAACUACAACUGACGCUCAGGGACGAAAGCGUGGGAAGCGAACAGGAUUAGAUACCCUUGUAGUC